CCUACGGGAGGCAGCAGUGAGGAAUAUUGCACAAUGGAGGAAACUCUGAUGCAGCAACGCCGCGUGGAGGAUGACGCAUUUCGGUGUGUAAACUCCUUUUAUUAGGGAAGAUAAUGACGGUACCUAAUGAAUAAGCACCGGCUAACUCCGUGC
rnacentral:rRNA from 1 species